GACGAACGCUGGCGGCGUGCCUAACACAUGCAAGUCGAGCGGAGUCAGUAAGAGGAAGAUUUCGGAUGGAAUCUUGCUGGUUUAGCGGCGGACGGGUAAGUAACGCGUGAGCAACCUGCCUUUCACAGGGGGAUAAGGCGGCGAAAGCCGCUCAAAUACCGCAUGAAACCACGGUAUGAUGUACCAGGGGUAAAAGGAGCAAUCCGGUGAAAGAUGGGCUCGCGUCCGAUGAGGUAGUUGGGGGGGUAAAGGCUCACCAAUCCAAUGAUCGGUAGCCGGCCUGAGAGGGUGAACGGCCACAUUGGAACUGAGAGACGGUCCAAACUCCUACGGGAGGCAGCAGUGGGGAAUAUUGGGCAAUGGGGGAAACCCUGACCCAGCAACGCCGCGUGAGGGAAGAAGGUUUUCGGAUUGUAAACCUCUGUUCUUGGGGAAGAGAAGAAGACGGUACCCAAGGAGGAAGCCCCGGCUAACUACGUGCCAGCCGCCGCAGUAA
rnacentral:rRNA from 1 species